rnacentral:rRNA from 1 species
GACGAACGCUGGCGGCGCGCUUAACACAUGCAAGUCGAGCGAGAACCAGACCUUCGGGUCUGGGGAAAGCGGCGAACGGGUGAGUAACACGUGAGUAACCUGCCCUCGGCACCGGGAUAGCCCGGGGAAACCCGGAUUAAUACCGGAUAGCCAUUCGAGCUCUCGAGCACGAAUGAAAAGGUAGCUUCGGCCUCUGGCCGAGGAUGGGCUCGCGGCGGAUUAGCUUGUUGGUGAGGUAAUGGCUCACCAAGGCGACGAUCCGUAGCUGGUCUGAGAGGACGAUCAGCCACACUGGGACUGAGACACGGCCCAGACUCCUACGGGAGGCAGCAGUGGGGAAUCUUGCGCAAUGGGCGAAAGCCUGACGCAGCGACGCCGCGUGCGGGAAGAAGGCCUUCGGGUUGUAAACCGCUUUCAGGAGGGACGAAGCCCCUCGGGUGAAUAGCCCAGAGGGUGACGGUACCUCCAGAAGAAGCCCCGGCUAACUACGUGCCAGCCGCCGCCGUAACAC